AGUUAUUUUAACAUAAAGUCUUUUGUUUAUAAGUCAAGAAAUAUCGAUUCUAUAUAACGAAUUAGUUAGUUAUAUAUUGUGUAGUGGAUAUGUAGAGAUUAUAUAAUAGAGCUGUUGUUGUCUUGUGUGUGGACUGUGUGGAGUAUAAAAAUAUGGUGGUGAUGCGUAAGAGGAGAAUAAAAGAGGAGUGUAAGAAAGACAGAGGAAGACAAAAAAAAAUUUGGGAAGCCUUACACGUCACUCUUUCUCUUUGCCAAUGACUUGUGAAGCCAUGCCCCGCGCCUCCUUUUUCUCCUCCCCAUCAAAAUAUAUACGCUAAUAAUGGCAUAAUGCGGUAUUGCGAUUAAUCUUAUAAUAUUUAUUAUACACCGAUUUAAGUUUUUACAUCUAAUCCGUUUAAAAGUUUAGAACCUUGUAAGUUUUGUAGAUAUUUAAUCUCUAUUAAAACCACUAUCAUUGUGGAAAAGGCAUGUUGAAUAGGCUCCUAGAUCGGUUCAACGCAUUCUAAUGAGCUGUACCACGUACGGACAGACAACGGUUGCAAUCUCAAGGUCUAAAAAUCUAAACAGUGAACAUAGAUACUUUCCUGUCCUCUCACGUGCACACGCGUCUACAAGUUACAACCGUCGCCGACUCACGUGACCGACCUUUUGGCCUCCAUAUAACGAAUAUAAAAAAACAAAAACCUACAGGAAAACCAAACAAAAACAAAAAAAUAUAUAUCGAACAUCUUCGCCUGUAUUGUUCUAAGUUCUGAUAUCACAACAACAAUAAUAAAAUUGUCUAAACCCUUCGCUAAGAAAUGUCCUUUUCACGUGAGUUUGUUUGUCCAUCAAUAUCUUCUCAAAAAACUUUUUCGUUUUAACUACGUUUAUAUAUGCACGACAAAGGAAAAAGAAGAAUUUUUUCGGUCGAAAAUAAAACCCAACAAAUUACAAAAUUUACAUGUAAAUGUUAUAUUAUGAUGAAAUGUUUCUUACAGAGCUUUGCUCUUGAACGAGUUAUUCUUUGAUUUCGUCCGAUGUUUUCUAAACAUAAUAGACGACUAUAGAAUAAUCGGUAAAAAAAAAAGAAAAAAAAAGUGAAAGAGAAAAAAGACUAAACCAUUUUAUUUUGUCAGUAAAAUCAUAAAAAAAAAGGUCGAAUGAUAAUAAAUCGCCAUCACACAAAUUUAUGCAAGUAGAUUACGUGAUAAAGUGAUAUUUUAAAGCAUAUGCAGAAAAUGAAAAGAAAGAUAAACUAAAAAGAAAGGAGAAAGAAAAAGAGAGUUAAAAAAAAGACAGAUGCGUUAAACUCCGUCAGAUACGGGACCUACUCGGGAGAGAGUAAGCAAAUAUCCGACGAUCAAAUCCAUGAUUCCAGUAGGUAAGCCAAGAUAUCCGCGAAAACUAAUUAAGCAGCCGGGUGACAAGAUCUAUCCGCGGACGUAAAGCCCAAACGGAUGGGAAACAAACAAAAUCACCCCAAAGGUACAUGGACAACAAUACCAAAAUAAAGAAAGCUACGAAAGCACAGUGAAGAGGAAAUUAAAACUCUAACUCAAACUCAUAACCCACGACACAGAACAGCGACUUCUCCUUUUAACAAUUAAGACUACCUCACAAAUAAAGAGAACUAAAGGAUCCUUACCAGCAAAAAAAGAACUACCUGCUACGAGGUCCAAAAGACGACUAGAACCCAAACUCAACUCCUGGAAACGGCGAAAUCGAGGCAAAAAGAAAUCAUAAUAGUUAGAGAAACCUAGAUGUGUGAUAACUACCGGGCCCAGCCCAAUAAGAGACUCUCUGGCCUUUAUAUAAGAUUAGACGCAGAGGAGGAAUAGUUGUCGGCGACGAAGCUAUGUCAGAUACGCAGUUGCCCGACGAAGAUAUGUCAGAUCCGCCGUCCUCCGACCAAACUAUGUCUAAUCCGCGGUUACCUAAAUAUAUUAUAUAUGGACUUACCUGCGAUUCAUACAAUGGAGUCAAUUGACCCCGUUCUCUUUUACGUGGAUCCGCCUUUGGAUGCCAAGACAUGUCUUUUGGAACGUGGAGGAUUACCCAAUUCUUUCUAAUCACGAUAUUUGUUAGAUGGGGGAGAAAAUCAGAUCAGCACUCGCGGUUGCGAAUUUUAGUGGGGAAGUUUCAAUCAAUGUUUACAUUGAUAAGAAGAAGAAUUAUACGUUUUUGGAUGAAUGGGAAUCGCUACGAGAUGCCGGAUUCACAAUCAAUACCAUCCCCAAAGUGGAUGCUUUUGCGUGGACACUGGAAUAUACUGCACCAACAAAUAUGAUUGUACUCUCAAAAAACUUGGAAGAAAAAGCGUUAUGUAGAUCUAUGUUUAAAAAAGCGACACCUAGGCUUGCCUAGGCUCUAGGCGAGGUGAGGCUACUCGUUCAUCGCCUCUAGAAGGUGGAGCGAGGCUAACAAUUAAAGUCGCUCGCUCAAGACAAAGGCGCUGGUGUAUCUCUCUCAAAAGCUUUGACGCCUUCUGCAAAAAAAGGCCAAUAUAUAUGAUGUGGUAGAUGAAGAUGAGGAUGAAGGUCAGUCUAGUCAGCCACCUUCCAAGAAACAUAAGGGUCCAAUGGAUAGGUAUGUUCUUCCAACUCCUCAUGAUAUCUUGAAAGGAAGAAAGGAUAGAAAAGAGGUUUUUGGAAAAUCUGAUAAGGAACUGAGGGACAAGGCAUGUGCUGCUAUUGCAAGGUGGUUUUAUGAUGCAGGGCUUCCGUUUAAUGCAGUUACUUUUGAUAGUUUUAGAGAAGCACUUGAAUUAGUUGGUCAAUAUGGGUCUGGCUUUAAACCACCAACAAUGUAUGAGCUGCGGGUUCCUUUCUUGAAGAAGGAAGUAAAAGAAACAGAAAAUCUGAUGGUGGAGCACAAGACAGAAUGGGCAACUAAAGGCUGUUCGAUUAUGUCUGAUGGAUGGCGUGAUUCUGUUGUCCAAAAAGACAUUAUUAACUUUCUUGUUAACUCUCCAAAGUGAUCAAUUUUCAUCAAAUCAGUUGAUGUUUCAACAGUAGUGAAAGAUGUUAAUUUGCUGUUUAAUAAGCUUGAUCGUAUGGUGGAAGAAGUUGUGGAAUCUAAUGUUGUCCAAGUGAUAACGGACAAGGCAUCAAACUAUGUAAAAGCUGGUGAGUUUGUUACUUUAUAAGGUUCUGUUUUUUCUGAUUUUUUCCAAAUUGAUACUAACAAGUCUGCCU